UGCCACAGCCAUAUCACCCUGCAGCCCAAGACCGGUUACUCACUGAAGCUAAGCAGGGCUGAGCCUGGUCAGUACCUGGAUGGGAGACCACCAGGGAACACUAGGUUGCUGUUGGAA
rnacentral:rRNA from 1 species